ensembl:snoRNA
UUGGCCUGUAUCAAGGCCGGCAGCUUCCUGACGUUGUUGGUUUCAAGCAGGAGCCUAAGGAGAUAUCUUUCUAUGGUCUGUUGGCCAUUUCAGAACUUGGACAGUGAAAUGGUCAAUUUACUAGAAAGAAACACCU